GUGGGGGAUUUUGCGCAAUGGGGGAAACCCUGACGCAGCGACGCCGCGUGGGCGAUGAAGGCCUUCGGGUCGUAAAGCCCUGUCGAGCGGGACGAAACGUGCGGGCUCUAACAUAGCCUGCGCCUGACGGUACCGCUGGAGGAAGCCCCGGCUAACUCCGUGCCAGCAGCCGCGGUAAUACGGAGGGGGCUAGCGUUAUUCGGAAUCAUUGGGCGUAAAGCGCGUGUAGGCGGCUUCGCUUGUCCCAUGUGAAAGCCCUCGGCUCAACCGAGGAACUGCAUGGGAAACGGCGGAGCUUGAGUCCGGGAGAGGAGAGUGGAAUUCCCAGUGUAGCGGUGAAAUGCGUAGAUAUUGGGAGGAACACCAGUGGCGAAGGCGGCUCUCUGGACCGGUACUGACGCUGAGACGCGAAAGCCAGGGUAGCAAACGGGAUUAGAAACCCGGGUAGUCC
rnacentral:rRNA from 1 species